UUUUAAUGUGUGUUCCUUUUCUAGCCACUUCCUGAUGACAAAACUCAAUUUUACAAUCAGCUGACUCUGAAGAGCCUCACAGAAGACCAGAGGAAAUCUCACAGCCAUGCUUUUAAAGUCUGCAAGACCUUCAAGGAUAUCCUGUGUGUUGAGCUGAUCUCGGAUCAGUCUCUGGUGGUGGUUGAGCGCCCUCUAGAGGACGUCGCCACUCAGUUGCCUGCACCCAUCAAACAAAAGAAAUUUGCCACAUAA